GGUCCAAAUCUUUCCUCUAUUCUCAGCUCCGUAUCUUCUGUCCUCCGGUUCCACCUAGGCUCUAACUCCAACUCGCCUCCUCUGGGCCAAGGUGCAGGUGGCUCUUCAGCUUUAACGGCAGCACCUGUGUGUGCUGCUUUUAAAAGCCUGUCCCGUUCAAAGUCCAGUGGGGCAGAAUCACUCUUUGACUGUUCUACCUCUGGGCACCAGUAGAAGCUUCUUCUAUUCCCCACCCGGUUCCAGAUCUCAGGACCCAAACUGCAACCCUGGCCUGGCAGAGUCCUGGUCCCUCUGGAGAUGGAGUGAGGAGGCUUGUUUGGUUGAGCAGGUCUCUCACAGAAGCUGGAUCUCAUCAUCUGACUCAAGUGGCUGGCCGCUGUGCCCAGCGACCUGCCUGUGUCUGCCCACCCUGCCAGCUUCUUCCGUGAGGGCUGGAGACCUGAACUCAGUCCUCACACUGGGCGGCAAGCACUUUUCCCAGCAAGCCAUCUGUCCAGCCGUCUGUUGGCACUCUUGGAAGACACUUUAAACAUUCUCUCCCUUCCACAAGACAAUGUGGAGAAUAUUAACAUCCUCAGCAUUUCAGAGCAUUCUGAAUGCAAUCAUUUUGGGGACCACAAAAAAAAGGCAUUAGAAAAGCUGGCUUAAUGUGCUCAUAAAUUUUGCUUAGAAUGUGAGAAAUAUUCAAGAGUAACCCACAUUCUUGUUGGUGGGGAGAGAGAGCAGUAGAGCCACUAUGGAGGUUUCUCAAAACUAACAAAACUAACAAUAGCUGAUCCAGCCACGGCCUCCUGGGUGUGCGCCCAGUGGAAUCCAGCUCAGCGGACUGCAGAGGUACUUACUUGUACAGCCGUGUUUACUGCAGCACUGUUCAUGAGAGCAGAGAUGUGGAGCCAGCAGAGGUGCCCAUCAGUUGAUGACCGGAUGAAUAAUGCUGUCUGCAUGGAGCUGCUGAACACGAUCUCCUGUCAGUCAAGCCGGAUGAUGAAGUGCGUAGAGUCAUCACUUGGGUUACCCACCCUCCUCCACCCCAUCUGCCAUUAAUACCACUAUAAAAUUUUAUAUGAUUGAAAUUGAGAUUAAGGUAGCUUUGGCCUGGAAAAAGAGUUGCUUGUCCAAACCUAUGAGCCCAGCCAAGAGGUGUGUGGAAGUAGGGCAACGCUAUCCAACUCUGCCUUGAUUAUGAGGUUGGCAGAGGGAGCCUCGGAGACCGGAAACACAUCUGUGACCAUCGAGGUCACUUCAGCUUCUCAAACCCCACCAGCCCUCCCCAGCUGGCCACGGUGAAAGAGAUCGAGCCAUGGAUCUCAGGAACUUAAGUGCCACGCAUCAGAAAGACACUGCUCACAAGAAACCCUCGGCACCAAAGAACUCCAUUUUCUGUGAUGUCCUUACUUACUGUGAAAAACAGGCUGGCCUGCAUUUUACUUCACUUUAAAAAUAGAACUCUGCCGCACAGAAUAGGUUUUAAGGAACCUGGUUAUUUGGAA